rnacentral:sRNA from 1 species
UGCACUUGUCGGGGAAGGGUGAGAACCUUCGAUUAAGGUUCGACUCGAGCGAAAGCGAGAGAACGUUGCCAACGGCAACGGCCCGUAGGGUGAGGAGCGAAGCGACGAAUAAUCCUUCCCCCACCACCA